rnacentral:lncRNA from 1 species
AACACUACAAGACUUUUUCUUGCUAAUGAAAUCCUUUCAUUAAUCGAUAACCACUAAAUGCAAUCUGUACUGUCUCAAAAGUCCACACAAAACACAUAAAUUCUAUCCAACACUAGGAAUAACCAAUCUUACUCAAUUAAUCUGGCUUUAUACAAUUUCUAUUUUCCCAGAUUUCCUCGGUCCGAACACACACAGUUUUCAAUUAACCACGAUCAUAAUCUUCCAGUUAUAACCAAUCUUCACAGAAUCUGAUAACAACUUUCAAAUUUCUCUCCUUCAAUCACACAAUACUUCAGUUACACACUCAAUAUCUCAUAAAUCAUUU